rnacentral:rRNA from 1 species
GACGAACGCUGGCGGCGUGCUUAACACAUGCAAGUCGAACGGAGUGGCGAACGGGUGAGUAACACGUGGGUGACCCGCCCUGCACUUCGGGAUAAGCCUGGGAAACUGGGUCUAAUACCGGAUAGUGUGGGAUGGGCGCGCGGCCUAUCAGCUUGUUGGUGGGGUAAUGGCCUACCAAGGCGGCGACGGGUAGCCGGCCUGGGAGGGGGGACGGCCACAUUGGGACUGAGACACGGCCCAGAGUCGUACGGGAGGCAGCAGUGGGGAGUAUUGCACAAUCGGCGGAAGCCUGAUGCAGCGACGCCGGGUGGGGGAUGCCGGCCUUCGGGUUGGAAACUCCUUUAACCAUCGACGCGGUAGAUGGAGAAGAAGCACCGGCUAACUACGUGCCAGCAGCCGCGGUAAUUC